UAGUGUAAAGGGCACAAAAAAUUUUGAUUUUUUAAGAGGUAGUUAAAAUCUAUUAU
rnacentral:tRNA from 1 species